rnacentral:lncRNA from 1 species
UGAGAACCCUAAAAGACUGGGUUGACUUCUUCUACCUCUAGGUGGUCUAAAAUCUCUGAGAAACCAAGACAUUGAUGUUUGUAAUCUUUUUUGUAUAGCACAGUGAUAGCACAUAACUGGCGCUCAAUAAAUGCAAGAUGAAUGGAUGAAUGAAUGAAGCACGCCCAUCUGGAGGCAAAGAGGCUGAAUUCUGCAUCCGGGGUUUCACGCAAACCUACCAGAGCCGCCAGCAUCAACACAGGAGUCCAGAGCUAAAAAGACACAAAAAAUGUAGCUGUGGGAAUUCGCAGAAAUUGAAAUGAGGGCUCUGGGCUCUCGUGGCCUACGGAGGUAAGAUUUCUAGCCAAGCUGAAGUAGAUCUCAAUGGUACAAGGUGU